CUGCGAAGGCUCCUUUUCGGGACCUGGUUACUUUCUACAUCAGAUCAAGAACUGGAAGCUGCCUGGCCCCAGUUGAAUUAACUUUUCUGCUUUUUAGUUCAACAGGUGCAACAGAACAAGGACACUUGCUCUCUACUCUGUAUGCUGAAGGAUAUCUUUAAAGAAUUCCAGAGAAAGUCACACCUGCAUAUUUUCUUGCAUCUGGUACUUUAAAUUUAUUUAUAUGCUGGAUUACAUUGAUAGAUUUUCGUAUGUUGAACCAGCCCUGC